rnacentral:lncRNA from 1 species
AGCCAUGGAGAUAUUUCAACUAGGGGAAGUGUCACAAAAUAACUCUAAUAGCUUCUUGAAACAGCCAAUUUUUAUGAAUCCAUCCUUUCAAUUUCAGUGAGAAGGCGGUGCACAGCGAUUAAAUAUUUCGACAACAAUAAUUACUAUGCCUCAAUCCAAAACAAGUUGAUCAGUCGCGGACUACUAGUAAUCUCGACAACAAUAAUUACUAUGCCUCAAUCCAAAACAAGUUGAUCAGUCGCGGACUACUAGUAAUCUCGACAACAAUAAUUACUAUGCCUCAAUCCAAACAGUGAUCAGUCGCGGACUACUAGUAUCUCGACAACAAUAAUUACUAUGCCUCAAUCCAAAACAAGUUGAUCAGUCGCGGACUACUAGUAAUCUCGACAACAAUAAUUACUAUGCCUCAAUCCAAAACAAGUUGAUCAGUCGCGGACUACUAGUAUCUCGACAACAAUAAUUACUAUGCCUCAAUCCAAAACAAGUUGAUCAGUCGCGGACUACUAGUAAUCUCGACAACAAUAAUUACUAUGCCUCAAUCCAAACAGUGAUCAGUCGCGGACUACUAGUAUCUCGACAACAAUAAUUACUAUGCCUCAAUCCAAACAGUGAUCAGUCGCGGACUACUAGUAUCUCGACAACAAUAAUUACUAUGCCUCAAUCCAAACAGUGAUCAGUCGCGGACUACUAGUAUCUCGACAACAAUAAUUACUAUGC